UACGUAGGGUGCAAGCGUUGUCCGGAAUUAUUGGGCGUAAAGAGCUCGUAGGCGGUCUGUCGCGUCUGCUGUGAAAACUCGGGGCUUAACCCCGGGCCUGCAGUGGGUACGGGCAGACUAGAGUGCGGUAGGGGAGACUGGAAUUCCUGGUGUAGCGGUGAAAUGCGCAGAUAUCAGGAGGAACACCGGUGGCGAAGGCGGGUCUCUGGGCCGAUACUGACGCUGAGGAGCGAAAGCGUGGGGAGCGAAAGGG
rnacentral:rRNA from 1 species